rnacentral:tRNA from 1 species
GCCUCGAUGGUGGAAUGGUAGACACGGAGGACUUAAAAUCCUCUUCCGUUCGGAGUGCGGGUUCAAUUCCCGCUCGAGGCACCA